rnacentral:rRNA from 1 species
AUUGAACGCUGGCGGCAUGCCUUACACAUGCAAGUCGAACGGCAGCACGGGGGCAACCCUGGUGGCGAGUGGCGAACGGGUGAGUAAUGCAUCGGAACGUGCCCAGUAGUGGGGGAGUAACUAGUCGAAAGAUUAGCUAAUACCGCAUACGACCUAUGGGUGAAAGCGGGGGAGUUCGCAAGAAACCUCGCGCUAUCGGAGCGGCCGAUGUCUGAUUAGCUAGUU